UAUAGCACUUGAUUAAAAACAACUAAAGUUCAGAUGUUCUAUUAAUCUUUUUUGGGGUUAUUUUGUUUUUUAGUAAAAGCCUGAAUAUUUUGUGCAAACACGGAUUGCUAUUUUAAACUGUUUUUAAUUAUUUUAAAUUUCGAUGUCUGUGUGUGUGUUUGUGUAUGUAUGUUUGUUCGUGUGUGUCAAAAAACAGUUAUGUCUAUGACAGGCAUUUCGGAUGUGUGUGUUUUGUCUCGCAUCAAUCCGGACCCUGCAGCUGUUCAUACAAGACUAGCACCACAAACCACCACAAGAGGGCGCCAUAACAACACAAAUUCCAGAUCAUGCAGAGAGACGCGGUCCUCAAAUUUAAACAUGAAAGAGACGUCUGGUGGAGGUGACAAUUGCAUGUUGCAUCGCCUUCACUUUGGAACACUUGACAUUCUUCUGCAUCGCUCUGCCGUCACCUCGCUUCCUUCAUUCUUCAUCCUCGGCUCGCUAUUGUUAUCUACUCGCGCCGCUUCCGCCCAGCAUUUCCUGCCUUCCUCUCCUCAAAUUCUACUUCUCAAACGCGGUCAAAGCACUUCCUCUCGUUCGGACGCCAAGAGGACAAUCUCUUGACAAGGCAAGCGGAUAACAAAUAGAAGACAUCCGGCUGUUCUCUGGAGCAUUUUGAACCGAAAUGAGUUCAUGGCAGUCGAGAACAAUCCCAAAACUUGGAAUGUUUAGAAUGUCGUACAAAUUGGAAACUGAAUCAAAUGAUCAAAACCAGUGAAGACCUCAAGAGUGAUUUUUACUUCCCAUUUCGCUCAGAAAACAAUCGUAAAGCCUGUCUAAUGAAUUUGCAAAAUUGUGAUGUAUGACUGUUGCUUUUUUUUUUUAUUACCAUUAACCCAUUUUUGGUGUCAUUCAUACAUAAUUGCUCAGGUUGCCCUUGCAACUUGAACUCAAUAAACUUACCUAAUUAGAACAUAAAUAAUGAAUCUCAUUAAGCAACAAAGGAGGAAAAAAACGCCACAAUCUUAACAGAGCAAUAAAACCCAAGUUUCCCAUUCUGGUCUGGCAACUAGCGUCUGCUUUUUGCCCUAUCACUUCUCACCUCAUUUGGAAAGCAUAAAAUGCCACACACACACACGUAUACAUCGCAAAACACAGACACACAAUCUGACCGGUCACAGUGUUACUGAAGUGUGCAA